UGGGGAAUCUUGGACAAUGGGCGCAAGCCUGAUCCAGCCAUGCCGCGUGAGUGACGAAGGUCUUCGGAUUGUAAAGCUCUUUUGCCAGGGACGAUAAUGACGGUACCUGGAGAAUAAGCCCCGGCUAACUUCGUGCCAGCAGCCGCGGUAAUACGAAGGGGGCUAGCGUUGUUCGGAAUUACUGGGCGUAAAGCGCACGUAGGCGGAUUAGUAAGUCAGGGGUGAAAUCCCGGGGCUCAACCUCGGAACUGCCUUUGAUACUGCUAAUCUCGAGUCCGAUAGAGGUGAGUGGAAUUCCUAGUGUAGAGGUGAAAUUCGUAGAUAUUAGGAAGAACACCAGUGGCGAAGGCGGCUCACUGGAUCGGUACUGACGCUGAGGUGCGAAAGCGUGGGGAGCAAACAGGAUUAGAUACCCAAGUAGUCCCUGAGCGGGCUGGCAAGGCGCAU
rnacentral:rRNA from 1 species